AGCGAGCGCUGGCGGCAGGCCUAACACAUGCAAGUCGAACGAACUCUUCGGAGUUAGUGGCGGACGGGUGAGUAACACGUGGGAACGUGCCUUUUGGUUCGGAAUAACUCAGGGAAACUUGUGCUAAUACCGAAUGUGCCCUUCGGGGGAAAGAUUUAUCGCCAUUAGAGCGGCCCGCGUCUGAUUAGCUAGUUGGUGAGGUAACGGCUCACCAAGGCGACGAUCAGUAGCUGGUCUGAGAGGAUGACCAGCCACACUGGGACUGAGACACGGCCCAGACUCCUACGGGAGGCAGCAGUGGGGAAUCUUGCGCAAUGGGCGAAAGCCUGACGCAGCCAUGCCGCGUGAAUGAUGAAGGUCUUAGGAUUGUAAAACUCUUUCACCGGGGACGAUAAGGACGGUACCCGGAGAAGAAGCCCCGGCUAACUUCGU
rnacentral:rRNA from 1 species